GAUCAUGGCUCAGGAUGAACGCUGGCGGCGUGCUUAACACAUGCAAGUCGAGCGAAGCACUUUGCUUUGAUUUCUUCGGGAUGAAGAGCUUGGUGACUGAGCGGCGACGGGUGAGGUAACCGCGUGGGUAACCUGCCUCAUACAGGGGGAUAACAGUUAGAAAUGACUGCUAAUACCGCAUAAGACCACAGCACCGCAUGGUGCAGGGGUAAAAACUCCGGU
rnacentral:rRNA from 1 species